GCGUGACCCACACUUUACUCGGCCAACAUUUUUUGUCUGUGUAUCCUAUCUCUGGCUCUGUAUCCAAAAUUGGCUUCCACGUCGCACAAAAAAUUGCCUCGUUUAACAUGCACUUUACAGUACUAUAGUCUUUCUUACGACUACAUCAGCUACGCCAUGAUAUUUCUAGCAUACAUGCAGUAUAUGAAUAAACCUUUGUUAUUAACUUAGUACUAUGAUUAUUACUAAAUCGUAAUUAAUAUCCCCGCUAAAUCGUGUCCAAUCUCCCAUCAUAUCGACAUGGAGCAACGCUUAAUUCCCUAUGUUAUAGUCUUCCAAUGUCACAAUCUUCAGUUACCAGUUUUCAUCAUGAAUGAUCAGUUUUAAACGGAAUUUAUUUUGAACGGCAAAUGUAUAAAUUUGGGGGCCAGCUAAUACUAGUUCAAACGUUGACGCAGAAUCCAGGCUAUUACCCAUAUACUCCACUAAUUAUGAUAGAUCUUUAUUGACAUUGCCUUAGGGACUAAUUAUAUGGAGUUUUACAAUGGUUUAC